rnacentral:tRNA from 1 species
UCCCUUGUGGCUCAGUUGGUAAAGAAUCUGCCUGUAAUGCAGGAGGCCCUGGUUUGAUCCCUGGAAUGGGAC